rnacentral:lncRNA from 1 species
UUCAAAUCAAAAUCCGGUAACGAUGAAGAGAUGAGAUGAGACUAAGAUGAAGACACUGCAAACGAGUUGGUGGUGACGAUGAUGAGAUUCGGUGGCCAUGAGGAAACGACAUUGCAAACGAGUUGAUGGUGACGAUGAUGAGAUUCGUUGGCGAUGAGGAGUCGACACUGCAAAUGAGAUGGUGAUGAAGAAAAUGAGAUCCGGUGACAACGACGAUGACAACGACGGUUUGAGCGUAGGGGAACGACAAAAUUCAGACCCUCGCACCGCCCUUCCACCUCCACCUUCCUCCGCCUCUUCUCCGCCGACCCAAAUGUUGGUUUAUGGUCGGUUUGCGCCCAUGAUUUGGCAGCAUACCGAACCGGUUUAGUUAUGUUCUCAUAACUCUCCAUUAAACCAUUCAUGUCUUUUCGUAUAGACAUCAACCUGUUUCUAUAAAAGGACAUCAGUAGAAAGACAUAAGCGAAAGUCUUUUGUGACUAUUAAUACAAAGAGAGUUCUAGAAAGAGAAAAACGUUUUAGAGAGAGAAAGCUUCGAGAGAUCAACCGGAAAGGCACUUGAACGGUGGCUUGUGGUUGAUUUCCGUUUGUGACUUCAACCCCGAUCUCUGCGUCAAUUCCCAGUCGAUUCCGUGCCAAAUACGUCAGUAAACCGGCAAAGGUAUGUGUUCCGGUUUAACGCUUCCGCAUAAAAGAAUAACACCAAAUCCACGCGCCUCCCGGUCAGCUACCUCACCCUCAUGGCAGGAAGAGAGCCGUCAUCUAUGGUAUCGUUUCUCUCGCCACGAGCUCAAAGGCUGCAUCAACGACGCCAAGUGCAUGCGUCACCUUCUCAUCAACAAAUUCAAGUUCUCCCCAGAUUCAAUUCUCAUCUAUUCAACCAAUCUCUCUCUCUCUCUCUCUCUCUCUCUCUCUCUCUCUCUCUCUCUCUCUCUCUCUCUCUCUCUCUCUCUCUCUCUCUCUCUCUAUCUCUCUCUCA